rnacentral:misc_RNA from 1 species
UUUCCGUAGGUGAACCUGCGGAAGGAUCAUUAAAGAGUAAGGGUCUUCGGGCCCGAUCUCCAACCCUUUGUUUAACUACCAUGUUGCUUUGGCGGGCCCGUCUCACGACCACCGGAAGUUUGGCUUCGACCAAACUUCUGGCCCGUGCCCGUCAGUGGCCCCUUCAAAUUCUUGAUCAAGUAUGAUGUCUUAGUUAAAAACUUAAUAGUUAAAACUUUCAACAACGGAUCUCUUGGUUCUG